rnacentral:rRNA from 1 species
UACGUAGGGUGCAAGCGUUAAUCGGAAUUACUGGGCGUAAAGCGUGCGCAGGCGGUUUUGUAAGACUGUCGUGAAAUCCCCGGGCUAACCUGGGAAUGGCGAUGGUGACUGCAAGGCUAGAGUUUGGCAGAGGGGGGUAGAAUUCCACGUGUAGCAGUGAAAUGCGUAGAUAUGUGGAGGAACACCGAUGGCGAAGGCAGCCCCCUGGGUCAAAACUGACGCUCAUGCACGAAAGCGUGGGGAGCAAACAGG